rnacentral:rRNA from 1 species
GCACCUGGUCCAGAUGGCCUCUCUUUCCUCUUUUUGCAAGAAUUUUGGGAGACCAUCAAACAAGAUGUUAUGGCUCUAUUUGAUGACUUCCAUGCAGGCACCCUAGAUAUUUAUAGAUUAAAUUUUUCCAUGAUUUCCCUCAUACCUGAAAAAGAGGAUGCCACCAAUAUGAGGAAAUUUAGGCCUAUUAGCUUACUGAAUUGUAUAUUUAAAGUCUUUACAAAAGUUCUGACCAAUAGGCUUGCUGUGGUUAUGAACUUUCUCACCUCUAGUAAUCAGUCAUCUUUUAUUAAAGGGAGAUAUAUCCUGGAAAGUGUAGUGACUGCACAUGAGGUGUUGCACUCCACUUUCCAUUCAGACAACUCAGGGCUAGUGCUUAAACUAGACUAUGAGAAGGCCUUUGAUAAGGUCAAUCUAGAUUUCUUGUUGGGGAUCCUCCACAAAAGAAACUUUGGUCCUGUAUGGAUCAAAUGGAUUCACCAAAUCACACACAUGGGCUCUGUAGGGGUCAAGGUGAAUGGAGUGGAAAGUGACUUCUUCAUUACCAACAAGGGGCUAAGGCAAGGGGACCCUAUAUCCCCCUUCUUUUUAACAUUGUAG